GACGAACGCUGGCGGCGUGCCUAAUACAUGCAAGUAGAACGCAGUUGCGAACGGGUGAGUAACGCGUAGGUAACUGCCUCAUAGCGGGGGAUAACUAUUGGAAACGAUAGCUAAUACCGCAUACUGUGAGAUUGACCUGCGUGGUAGUAGCUAGUUGGUGCGGUAAAGGCUUACAAAGGCGACGAUACAUCGCCGACCUGAGAGGGUGGUCGGCCAAACUGGGAUGGGUAAACGCCCCAGAAGCCUAAGGGAAGCAGCAGUAGGGAGUCGUCGGAAGUGGACUGAAGACUGGCCGAGCAACGCAGCGAGAGUGAAGAAGGUGUUCGGAGCGUAAAGGUCUGUUAUGAGAGAAGCGGUAACUAACCAGAAAGGGACGGCUAACGACGGGCCAGCCGCGGCGGUAAUAC
rnacentral:rRNA from 1 species